GCGGCUACCUCCCUUGUAAUUGGAGAAACUGCAAAACAGCCUAUCACUGUAGGUGAAUUUUUUUUUAAUGUGUAACAGUGUUUCCAAUACUAUGUUAUAUGACUACUAGUUUGUGCCAUAAAAUUUCCAUAAUGAUUCAUUCUUAGUGUAUAGGCUGGUUAAGUCUUUCUAUGGAUUAUAGGAGACUACCAUAAAGCAAUAUUACUGCUUCAUUACUGAUACAUGAAUUAUCAUACCUGUAAAUAAAUGUAUUCAUUUUUACUGUCUACUGUUAAUACAUGUAAUGUCUACAGUAGUAUACAAAACACAAAAGACAAUAUUGAUGUAGGUACUGACAGAUGAUUUGUCUUGUAAACUUAUGGUGUUGACAAAUACAGUAGUAGAUGUAUAUAUUUUAUUUUCUUAACAUUUCUAUAGCUUUAUUUUAGGAAUACAGUAUAUAGUAUAUAUAACAUACAAAAUGUCUUGAUUGUUUUAUUAUCAGCAAGGUUUUUUGGUCAAUACAAGGCUAUUAGUAGUUUUGGAGGAGUCAGAAGUUUUAUGUGAAUUUGACUGCAUGGGGGUGCUGCUGCCCUGGCCAGUGUUUUUCAGGUCUGUUAAGUUCAUCUGGUCUAACGUCAUUUAAGGCUGAUGUUUCCUAUUUUCUGUCUAGAUGAUUUACCCAUUCACAAAGAUGGAUAUUAAAAUUCCCUACUGUUAUUGUAUUACUAUUUCUUACUUUAGGUCUGUUAAUAUUUGAUUUAUAUAUUUAGGUGCUUCUAUGUUGGGUAUAUAAAUAUUUACAUACAUUGUAUCUUACUGGGUUGAUCCUUUAAUUAUUACAUAGUAACACCCUUGUCUGUCUUACCACAGCCUCUGUGUUCAAGGUCUGUUUUGUCUGAUACAAGUAUAGCUACUCCAGCUUCUUUUUGUUUCCAUUUGCAUACGUAUCUAUUUUCAUCCCUUCACUUUGAGAUGUGUCUUUACAUCUGAAGUCUCUUGUAGGCAGCAUAUAUUUAGCCACUCUGCAUCUUUCGAUUGGAGAGCUUAGUUCCUUUACAUUAAAAGUAAUUGAUAGGUAUGUAAUUAUUGCUAUUUUAAUUUUUUUUCUAUUUGGUAGUUAUUCUCCUCAUGAUUUUUAUAUAGUGGUAUGCUUAGAUUUAUCUUUUGUAUAUCUACUCUAGAUUUUUGCUUUGUGGUUACCAUUAGGAAUAAAGGUGGUUGUUUUUUUUUUAACUAAUAACUGCAAUAUGAAUCUAUUCUGUAUCUCUGGGGAAAGAAGCCCAUAGGGAUUAGAUUCUAAAACACUCCUACUGAAGUUUAAAUUGUCAAAAAGUAACAGUAAAAAAAUUUUUUUUACAUCAGUCCAGCAACCACCAAUGAUUUUAUUUAAUAUUCAGGGUGGCUCGAACAGAAACAGUCUUGAGAUCCAACUAGCAUUUCUAAAGUGAAGAAAACAAGAGUUCUGAAACAAACCAAUUAGGCCUCCAACCCACAAUAGUCAUGCACCUAGGAUGUGCAAGUCAUUGGAUUUGCAAACUUCUAAAAUAGCUGUAUGUGCUGAAAUGAAGGGAAUCUUUUAUUGAGCCCAUCUUGUCACCGCUGACACUCAGGGCUCAUACUAAGCAGUUAUGCACAGACUUACAGGUUAAAAUACAGAAACAACUCCAUAUUGAUAAAUGGCUGCUGCUUAGUCCCCUGAACUCCUCACCCCAACUGUUCUUAUCCCUUCCUCAGGGUGUCCUACAAUUACUCUUGAUCCUCUCAGUUCUGCACUAUGGCCAGCAUUUGACCCAAUUGGUCAAAGCUCAUGCCAUGUUAUCUGGCGGAAUACUGCAAGGUGGUACUUUUAGUAUACACACUUCACAGAUGUAGAAGUUAAGUCAAGAGAGGCUGUCAGUGACUCCUCUAAGGGCACUCAAUUAUUAAGGAACAAAGACAAAUGCAAAGUCAGGUCAGACUUAAAAACCCAUGCUUUACCCACUUUUCACUCUUCUGAAUACCUCCUUAAAAGGAGGUUAUGAAUUUGGUCAUCAGCAGACCAAAGGCAUAAAGAGAUGAAAUAGGAUCAAUAUGAAUGACAUAUAUCAGCCAUACUCAUUCUUUAGAUCAGGUAGUUUUAGAAGCUUUAAGUUUGCCAUAGUUUUAGAAUCUAAGUUUAAAUCAUAUCCUAGAAAUAAAUCAUUCUCUCUCAUAUAAAAAGUAUUUAAACCAAAUAUACCAUAUAUUAAGAACAGGACAGUGCUGGUCAUGCACAUCUACUCUUUAGCUUAGGUAUCUGGCUAUGGGAACAGCCCAAGUUCUUCAGAUGAAAAUGGACCAUAUAGCAGGCUUUUAAAAAAUUCAAGAGCACUUGCAGUCAGGAUUACUCACUUGUGAUCAUGGCACUGGAGCAGCAUUCAUGGGUAAUUUCAUUAGACCUGUAAGACUUUCUCAAGUUUUUUACUUAGUAAUCAGUUUUUCCAGAUUUCUUCUGAGACCAUCUGGUACCACUGCAGGGAGAGGAAGCAGAAUCUACCAGAAACCUUCAUGAAAGUUGACUGAGGAUGAGAAAGGUGAACUGAUCCCUGCAGUCACCCUUCACUGCUUAAGGUUACAGUCAGAGGUGUACAUUUAUUCAGGGUCCAUGAUCCACUCUAUACAAACUUCUAUGAAGAACUUCAGUUCACAAACAGUUCUCAAUCAUAUCCUGUGUAAAAAAGAAAACAACAAAAACACUCAAAAGCUCUCAAACUCAAGUGUGCAUCUGGAAGCGAUUCAAAGACGACAUGCCGAUUUUGGAGGAAAGUCAUAGAACUUCUCUCAAAAGCACUGUAUGCUACAGAGAAACUGUCCAUGAAAGGAAGAGUCCCAUCAAUGUGAUACUGCCUCAGCAUCACCACCGUGAUCAAUCAACAGCAAGGCAAGACCCUCCACCAGCAAAAAGGCUGGCUGAAGUUUCAGAUGAUGUUUAUUUAGCAGUUUUUAGCAAGCAAGUAUUUUUAAUUAAGGUCUCCAUUCUUGGAAUUCUUGACUAAACUGACUUCAAAUUAAUGAAACUUCAAGAAGAGAAAACGCAACUUCUCUCCAUAUAGCUGAAUCUGCUAUAUUC